UGAACGCUGGCGGCAGGCCUAACACAUGCAAGUCGAACGGUAACAGGAAGCAGCUUGCUGCUUCGCUGACGAGUGGCGGACGGGUGAGUAAUGUCUGGGAAACUGCCUGAUGGAGGGGGAUAACUACUGGAAACGGUAGCUAAUACCGCAUAACGUCGCAAGACCAAAGAGGGGGACCUUCGGGCCUCUUGCCAUCGGAUGUGCCCAGAUGGGAUUAGCUAGUAGGUGGGGUAACGGCUCACCUAGGCGACGAUCCCUAGCUGGUCUGAGAGGAUGACCAGCCACACUGGAACUGAGACACGGUCCAGACUCCUACGGGAGGCAGCAGUGGGGAAUAUUGCACAAUGGGCGC
rnacentral:rRNA from 1 species